rnacentral:lncRNA from 1 species
GACUUACAAUUGAGCUUGGAAGCUUGAAAAACCCUAGCCAUGGUUUAUCCUUGCUAUAUUUGGCCAUGGGGUUGAAGAUGAGCAAAAUUGGCUUUUAAUUUUGUAUUUUAAUUCAUUUUACCCCUAAAUGACCAAAAUGCCCUUACUACUAAACUUUCCAAAAAUUCCAUCCAUGUCCAAUUUUUGUCCAUAGACUUAGAAAUUGGUAAAAUUUCUAUUUAAG